ACGGGGGGUGCUAGCGUUAUUCGGAAUCAUUGGGCGUAAAGGGCGCGUAGGCGGUCUCUUAAGUCAGAUGUGAAAGCCCUCGGCUUAACCGAGGAAGUGCAUUUGAUACUAAGUGACUUGAGUAUGGGAGAGGGAAGCGGAAUUCCUGGUGUAGCGGUGAAAUGCGGAGAUAUCAGGGGGAACACCUGUGGCGAAGGCGGCUUCCUGGGCCAGUACUGACAGUGAGGCGCGAAGGCGUGGGGAGCAAACAG
rnacentral:rRNA from 1 species